CACCUCUUCUAUUCCCCCAAGUCGCGCCCCCAAAUCAGCCAGCCUUCCACCCUCGAUCCCAUCCGCCGCCGACCACCCUUCGCCGCUCCCGUCGACCUCAGCGACAGCCGAUAACCCUCCGCCGUCCCCGACCCUAGCCUCACCCUUCCCCGCCCCGACCACCCUCCACCGUUCCCAAACCCCUACCGCUCCCGGCUUCCUUCCCGACCACCGUGGCGGGCAAGGGUUUGACGCCGCCGGCCCUCCUGGCCGUCCUCCGGUUGGUCGCUAGAGGAAAUGGCUUCCACCCUCCUUCCAAAGCUUGUGACCACGGAUCAGGCUCCUCCCACCGUUCCUUCCCCUCUCCUUCUUGGAGCCGCGUGUGACCACGGAUCUGGCUCUCCACCAGCGGCAGCUGGGAUGGCGCGGAUCCACCUCUUCUCCACAAGAGCCGGCCGAGACGACGUGGAUUCGCAUCUCCUCCUCCCUCCCUGCCAUGGCCGCCUUUAUCUGCUGCGCCCCCCGCCUCGCAGCUCUGCUUCUGGACGGAGAUCUGGAGGAGUACCCGCCGCUCACCGUGGCUUCAAUCCUUCUUCCCAGCUGGCCCCAGAGGCACAACGUUAAGGGUGCAAGCUCGACUGUUUCAACAGUCUGCCUUGGCGUGAUGGCUCCCCGUCAACAACCAGGUUGACCAUGGCCUAUGCUAGCUUUAGGUAUCAUCUUAUCGGUUUAGAAUACUGGUUCUGUUCCUGGGCAAAAAGUAUUACUUGAAUUGUAUCUUAAUCAUCAGACCAGAUUCAUGAAUUACUAGAUGUUUCAGCAGUUCCUUCCCCUGUCCCAGUCCGCUGGAAGUGUCUCUGCUGCCUCCCCAAGACGCUGGAAGGUCACCCGCAUCGAUGCUCUUUCCGCCACUUCCACAAGCCACCAGACCGUAUAGUUCAUGCCCCUAAUCUACAUGCCAUGUCAAGUUGCAUCCUCUUCUUGCUUAGCUACAAGUGCUCAAUGCACUAGGAUAUACUCCCUCUGUUUCUAAAUAUAAGAUGUUUUGGAAGUUUAAAUUAGACUGUCAAAACGUCUUAUAUUUAGGAACGGGCAUAGUAUAUAAAAAUCUACCUCUUACUGAUCUCUUGUUGUAUAUUGGGAAGAGAAAUAUGCUUUGAAUCAUCUCCACAAGGAUGUAGAAUUACAUUUAUGGAAGGUUCGUAUUCAAAUUAUCAAAAACAUGAAGGAAUGGUCUCCUUUUAAAUAUGUUUGACUAGUAAAUGGCAUUUCUAUGUAGUAGCUGCAUGCGCAAGGAAGAUAAUACAGGAUAUCACCCACUUUCAUGCCUUAGCUCAAUAAAUUGACAUUAGUGAAAAGUAUAAACUGACAACCAUACUUACUCGUAGACUGGUACCUAGCGCAAGUAUAGGGUCUUGUAGACUGGUACAAGAAGAAAUUAAAACCAUUCCAAACAGGCCCUUUAUGGUUUUUUGUUGGAUGUCUGCAUUCUAGCUAAAGAUGACAUUGAAGUUAAUUGUCCUCCAUCUUGCUGUGAUAGUCAACCUUCUCUGUUUUAUUUCGACUCUUCUAUUUUUCCUGUCAUAUUGAUAGUCUUGUGAUAAGUGGCACUACUAUGUGAGAGUGAUGUUGCUCUGCUUUGUACCAACUUAGAAUUCAUGUUUUAGACUAACCUCAUAUUUCAGCUCGACAUUAUAACUUAGGUCUUGAAAGGUUUGACAAGAUCUUGAAGGUGUCGGAGGUUGGGCAAGAUCCGCAAGGAAAAAGAAUGGAAAAGGAAGAGAUAAGACAAUGCUGAAGCACAAGAGCAAGAGAGGCUAGCUAUACUUAAAGCAAGGAACAGCGAGGAUUCUGAACGAUUUGGGUCCUUUAAAUUUUCAAAUCUAAAUGAAGAUUUUGGAGGCCGAGCCAGUCAGGGACAAAAUAAAAGGAAGAAGGUGAUCUGUUUGGUUACUGCAUCUACUGUACAAUUGCAUCUAUCGUAAAACUGCAUCUUGUUACAUGCUUUGUGCAGCCCACUUUGUCAUGCACAUUAAUUCAUGCUUUGCACAGUUCACUUUGUCAUGCAUAUUAAUUCAUGCUUUUUGCAGUUCACUUUGUCAUGCACAUAUUAGGUGCAUGUUGAUGUGAAGUUCUCACAUCAUCUUGUUUGCUAAUUUGUAGAGCAAUGUAGAAUAUCCUACUGUUAAAGUAACUCGAGUUCUUAGGUCCUAUAUAACUAGAGAUACUCCAUGAGCAGCAUAGAUGAGAUACUUUUAUUCUUGUCAGCCCGCCUGAAUGCACGAGAGAGCCUAGCUGUUGCUCAAAGACUGAAUGCAAAACCCACUGCAGCCCAGUCUAUGAGAAAAUCAGACCAGCAAGCCUGAGAUGAUGUGUUUCCAAAAUAAUUGAGUGUUGACUAAUGCCAUAGUACUACCAUGGUUCAAAUGUUGAAUUUUUUUCCUGUGUUUUUCUUUAAGCUGGCCCGCCCAGCUAUUUUGUUGUAGCUCGGCCACUGAUCCAAAGUAAAACAAUAUUCUGCACUAGAAACAGUACAAGAUAUCUCUGGGUCAACUUAUGUAAUAAAGUAAUCUUUGCAUGCAGAUUGUUAAUAUCAAUGAGAAACUUUAUCUCAAGUUAUUAUAUGAUCUUAGUUACUGUAGUUUUCAGUAUGGUUGCUCUUGCCAGUCGACUUUAGCUUAGCCUCCAUUUCUGAAUGUCUUGAAUUGAUUUCUCUUCCUGUGUUUGUCGCUCUUCCUAUUUCCAUUCCCGGUGCCAUAGUAAUAUAUAAUUGUUUCUGAUGAAUAUAAGACAUUCAGUGUGCUUAAGGACAUGGGCAAAACCAAGUAUAAUUUUAAGAGGAGCAUUUACGAGAUCGAGUAGCUGCAUGAUUUCUCAAUGCAAAGCUCCUAGCUGUGUUUGUGCACUUAUUCUUCCAAUAUAUUCUUAGGAUAUGCCUAACUACAGUUUUGUCACAUGGAUUCCUCCUUAUUUUGUUAUCAACUCACUUGAACUUAAUUAGUUUAUCUGUUAAUGUUACUGACUUGAAUUGUUUCUGAAUGUAUUAGGUACCAAUUUGUCAAUCUUUUACUAAAUAUAAAUAAAAUACAAAAAUGUUGCAACAAAAUGGGUCUGAUUCCAGAACUAAGCAUAUUUUUUAUACCCCAUUCUCAACUAUAUGCUCUAGAUUAUUAUGUUGUAGUUUGAAAUCCAAAUAUAAAGAUAAUUACAAUUUUUAUCUAAUUCACAACCUAUAUACAGGAACCGGCAGCAUUUUAGUCCAUUUUAAUCUGUAUCCAAUUUAGUAAACAAAAUUAGGCGAAAUGGAAAUACAGAGGAAAAAUGAAAUAGCCCACCUAAAGAUUUCCCCAUAACCAUUUUGAUUUGUACAAGUGGUAAUUUAACCUUCCAAUAUGCAGAUAUUGUGACUUCACUUAGGAUAGCGGAUCCCAGGAUCUUUAAGCAAGCCCUUGAUAGACAUGCAGACCACUAAGUUCACAUAUUUGUGUUCUGAAAAAGUUUCGGCCCUCUGCUGUCACGGAUUGCUUCUUACUUUAUUGUACAGGGACCCUGAUUGCUUUGCGUGGACACUGAUUGCUUAUUUCUCUUGGAGGGUUACUAAAAUGCGGUGUCUACCUUGUGUUGGAAAAAGUUGAACUCCAGGUCUACCGGAGAUUAGUUAAGAAAAUGCAUAUCAUCCAGAGGGAGAAGGAACCAUCGUCUAAGGCGCAUCAAAUCAAGCUAGAGGUCUCUGCAUCCAUUUUAGUCGAGUAGCAGUCUUGCGAAAGGUGACCGUGGCAAACAUUUUAUCCUGCUACAAGCACAUUAUUUGGAUGAAAUGGUGUUUAUUGUUGGUGGCUUAUUUGUAUGCCUAACAAGUUGGGAGCUUUUCUUCAGGGUUUCCCAAAGAUACACUACUUGAUGGAGGUUUGGAUGAUCUACAAGCUGCUGAAGGUUUGCAAGAUCUACUAUUAAGUUGGUGGAGUGAUAAUGUAAUGCGCCUUGUUUGUUGAACCUGGAGACAUUGGCAAGUUGUGCUCUUUUUGGUGGUUGUUUUGGCACAUAGGCCACUAUAUGGCCAUUUUGGUUGUGGGACACAUGUAGAAACAUAUAUACUUCUCCCAUUGUGGCACUACUUCAUUUUGGUUGUGUGGCACAUCUAUCUAGAAACAUGUAUGUACUCCUUUUGUGGCACAGUCUGCUUAUAUAUGUUCUUAUGUUUAUGAAAUGAAGUUUAAGGUUUCUGAUGA